rnacentral:rRNA from 1 species
CCAGCUCCAAUAGCGUAUACUAAAGUUGUUGCAGUUAAAAAGCUCGUAGUUGGAUUUCUGACGAGGGCGACUGGUGGGUCUCGCAAGGGACUCGACUGAUGUUGGCUCUUGUCAUCCUUGGGGAGAGCCAGGCUGGCAUUAGCUUGUCGGCUUGGGGAUCCUCAUCGUUUACUGUGAAAAAAUUAGAGUGUUCAAAGCAGGCUUAGGCCCUGAAUACAUUAGCAUGGAAUAAUAAGAUAGGACCUUGGUGGUCUAUUUUGUUGGUUUGCACGCCAAGGUAAUGAUUAAUAGGGAUAGUUGGGGGUAUUCGUAUUCAAUUGUCAGAGGUGAAAUUCUUGGAUUUAUGGAAGACGAACUACUGCGAAAGCAUUUACCAAGGAUGUUUUCA